rnacentral:rRNA from 1 species
CCUACGGGCGGCAGCAGUGAGGAAUAUUGGUCAAUGGCCGGAAGGCUGAACCAGCCAUGCCGCGUGAAGGUCAGUGCCCUAUGGGCGUUAAACUUCUUUUGUCCGGGAGCAAUAAUGGUCACGUGUGGCCAGACGAGAGUACCGUCCGAAUAAGCAUCGGCUAACUCCGUGCCAGCAGCCGCGGUAAUACGGGGGGUGCAAGCGUUAUCCGGAUUUCUUGGGGUUAAAGGGUGCGUAGGUGGGCGCGUAAGUCAGGUGUGAAAACGCCGGGCUCAACCUGGAGACUGCACUUGAAACUGGGGGGCUUGAGGGCAGGAGAGGAAAGUGGAAUUCCUAGUGUAGCGGUGAAAUGCGUAGAUAUUAGGAGGAACACCAGUGGCGAAGGCGACUUGCUGGACUGUACCUGACGCUGAGGCGCGAAAGCGUGGGUAGCGAACGGGAUUAGAUACCCGAGUAGUC